rnacentral:rRNA from 1 species
GACGAACGCUGGCGGCGUGCUUAACACAUGCAAGUCGAACGGAAAGGCCCUGCUUUUGUGGGGUGCUCGAGUGGCGAACGGGUGAGUAACACGUGAGUAACCUGCCCUUGACUUUGGGAUAACUUCAGGAAACUGGGGCUAAUACCGGAUAGGAGCUCCUGCUGCAUGGUGGGGGUUGGAAAGUUUCGGCGGUUGGGGAUGGACUCGCGGCUUAUCAGCUUGUUGGUGGGGUAGUGGCUUUCCAAGGCUUUGACGGGUAGCCGGCCUGAGAGGGGGACCGGCCACAUUGGGACUGAGAUACGGCCCAGACUCCUACGGGAGGCAGCAGUGGGGAAUAUUGCACAAUGGGCGGAAGCCUGAUGCAGCAACGCCGCGUGCGGAAUGACGUCCUUCGGGUUGUAAACCGCUUUCGCCUGUGACGAAGCGUGAGUGACGGUAAUGGGUAAAGAAGCACCGGCUAACUACGUG